rnacentral:rRNA from 1 species
GACGAACGCUGGCGGCGUGCUUAACACAUGCAAGUCGAACGGAAAGGCCCUGCUUUUGUGGGGUGCUCGGGGGGCGAACGGGUGAGUAACACGUAAGUAACCUGCCCCUGACUUUGGGAUAACUUCAGGAAACUGGGGCUAAUACCGGAUAGGAGCUCCUGCUGCUUGGUGGGGGCUGGAAAGUUUCGGCGGUUGGGGAUGGACUCGCGCCUUAUCGGCUUGUUGGGGGGGUAGUGGCUUACCAAGGCUUUGAACGGUAGCCGGCCUGCGAGGGUGACCGGCCACGUUGGGACGGAGAUGCGGCACGGCCUCCUACGGGAGGCAACGGUGGGGAAUAUUGCACUGUGGGCUGAAGGCUGAUGCAGCAACGCCGCGUGGGGGAUGACGGCCAUCGGGUUGUAAUCCGCUGUCGCCUGUGACGAGGCGUGAGUGACGGUAAUGGGUAAAGAAGCACCGGCUAACUACGUG